CCCGAUACGACCGUACCGCAAACCGACACUGGUGCGCGAGAUGAGUAUUCUAAGGCGCUUGAGAGAACUCAGGAGAAGGAACUCGGCAAAUUGACACCGUAACUUCGGAAGAAGGUGUGCCCUAUUAGUGUGUAGUGAACAACGAAGCAUGAAUGGGUUGCAAAAAAUCGGUGGCUGCGACUGUUUAUUAAAAACACAGCACUCUGCAAACACGAAAGUGGACGUAUAGGGUGUGACGCCUGCCCGGUGCUGGAAGAUUAAAUGAUGGGGUGCAAGCUCUUGAUUGAAGUCCCAGUAAACGGCGGCCGUAACUAUAACGGUCCUAAGGUAGCGACAUUCCUUGUCGGGUAAGUUCCGACCUGCACGAAUGGCGUAACGAUGGCCACACUGUCUCCUCCUGAGACUCAGCGAAGUUGAAAUGUUUGUGAUGAUGCAAUCUCCCCGCGGAAAGACGGAAAGACCCCAUGAACCUUUACUGUAGCUUUGUAUUGGACUUUGAACAGAUCUGUGUAGGAUAGGUGGGAGGCUUUGAAGCAGGGUCGCUAGAUCUUGUGGAGCCAACGUUGAAAUACCACCCUGGUGUGUUUGAGGUUCUAACCUAGGUCCAUUAUCUGGAUCGGGGACAGUGCACGGUAGGCAGUUUGACUGGGGCGGUCUCCUCCCAAAGCGUAACGGAGGAGUUCGAAGGUACGCUAGUUACGGUCGGACAUCGUGACGAUAGUGCAAUGGCAUAAGCGUGCUUAACUGCGAGACUGACAAGUCGAGCAGAUGCGAAAGCAGGACAUAGUGAUCCGGUGGUUCUGUAUGGAAGGGCCAUCGCUCAACGGAUAAAAGGUACUCUGGGGAUAACAGGCUGAUACCGCCCAAGAGUUCAUAUCGACGGCGGUGUUUGGCACCUCGAUGUCGGCUCAUCUCAUCCUGGGGCUGUAGCCGGUCCCAAGGGUAUGGCUGUUCGCCAUUUAAAGAGGUACGUGAGCUGGGUUUAAAACGUCGUGAGACAGUUUGGUCCCUAUCUUCCGUGGGCGCUGCAGAUUUGAGGAAGCCUGCUCCUAGUACGAGAGGACCGGAGUGGACACACCUCUGGUGUAUCGGUUGUCACGCCAGUGGCAUUGCCGAGUAGCUAAGUGUGGAAGAGAUAACCGCUGAAAGCAUCUAAGCGGGAAACUCGUUUCAAGAUGAGAUCUGCCGGGGCCUUGAGCCCCCUAAAGAGUCGUUCAAGACCAGGACGUUGAUAGGUCAGGUGUGGAAGCUAAAAA
rnacentral:rRNA from 1 species